UGGGGAAUUUUGGGAUCAAUGGGCGAAAGCCUGAUCCAGCAAUGCCGCGUGUGUGAAGAAGGCCUUCGGGUUGUAAAGCACUUUUGUCCGGAAAGAAAUCCUUGGCUCUAAUACAGUCGGGGGAUGACGGUACCGGAAGAAUAAGCACCGGCUAACUACGUGCCAGCAGCCGCGGUAAUACGUAGGGUGCAAGCGUUAAUCGGAAUUACUGGGCGUAAAGCGUGCGCAGGCGGUUUGCUAAGACCGAUGUGAAAUCCCCGGGCUCAACCUGGGAACUGCAUUGGUGACUGGCAGGCUAGAGUAUGGCAGAGGGGGGUAGAAUUCCACGUGUAGCAGUGAAUGCGUAGAGAUGUGGAGGAUACCGAUGGCGAAGGCAGCCCCCUGGGCCAAUACUGACGCUCAUGCACGAAAGCGUGGGGAGCAAACAGGAUUAGAUACCCUGGUAGUCCACGCCCUAAACGAUGUCACUAGUUGUUGGGGAUUCAUUUCCUUAGUACGUAGCUAACGCGUGAAGUUGACCGCCUGGGGGAGUACGGUCGCAAGAUUAAACUCAAGGAAUUGACGGGGUCAUAGCUGUUUCCU
rnacentral:rRNA from 1 species